UGUGUGAUGUCCAACUUGCAACACAACCUAAAGGUCCCUUUCUGAGGAGACAGUUUUCCGGAAUGAAUAUUUAUCACGCAAGAGAGCGUUGUUGACGGUGACUAAGAAGAGAACAAUGAAGCCCAGAUUCACAGAUAUUUGCAUUUUCAAAUGCAACUUCUUUGACCAUCUUAUCGUGUGACCCCCGAUAUUUUGUCGUCAAGCGUGCUGGUGAAGUCUUCUCUCUAUACAUCCAUCCAACAUGUCUCAUGUUGGAGAUGUUCUUCUGACCACGAUCGUACAGUCUGAAGAAGCGGUUUCAUGCGCUGACCUUUGAACUCGAGGAGGAGGCCGUGAGCAUGACCUCGAUGGAAGUAGGCCCUCUCUCGGUGAUGUGAUGUCAGAGGGAAUGUCCGUCUUGAUAGUCAGUUUCAGCUUGCCCGGAUGAGCGCAAAAUAAACAAUUUACCUCAUCAAUGACGUCGCAUGCAGACGCUCAACUAAAUUUCCAGAUAAAAGUUUCGAAAGUAGGAAACCACCGUGGAACACUCCCACCCCAUGAGAUUCCUAGAAGCUAACCUUAACCUUCAUCAUCCUUCACACGCUUAUAGGUUUCUCUCCUACAUCAUCAGCGCGAAUGUGUUCGUCGUCAAUUCUUCAUCCACCAAAGCUCAUCAUUCAACAGAGACUGCCAUGUAGACCAGCUUUAACCCGAACUUGAUGGCCAGUUUCCUCGACGAGGGGUGUCUCUGCCAAGGGUUAACUCAGCUUAUUUGAGUGCCAUGCCUCUUAACUACCUAUCAUACUUAAAAUAAGAGUAAUCAGUUAGAGCAUGAUUAUUCAACAUACUGCAAUGCAUACAUAUCUCCCAGUUAAACUUUUAUCUAUAUUCCAUCUAACCAAUCGACACGGCUGGCAUGGUCAUGAUGGUAGCUAACAGUUCGGCCACCAUCAUCAUGAUCAUGUCAAUAACUGACGAAUAAUUAAACAGCGCUAACAUGACUAUCAACUAGUUGAUUCAACGAUUGAAUACCAUGAAUACUUACUUACCCUAUAUAAGCAUAAACAUAAAUCAUCUAUCCAGUCUUCUGCUAAAAAAAUAUAUAAAUAAGCCGACAAAUGAGUUAGUAUUUAAAUUAGUAGGUAAUAAAUCAGCCAAUAAAUUAACUCGCAAUUAGCCAAUUUUUUCAAAGUGGAUUCAUUCAGAGCCAGCCUACUGGAGUCAAAGAGUGCAUGCACUGCUCUGCGGUUCCUAAAUUCAAACAUCUUCUCGUUUCAUACGUGCUUUUUCUACCUCGAUAUUUACUCGUGGGUGCUGUUGUGUAAAUAAAGCAUUUAUAGUCUAAAUAUGAAGGAGAGAAUAAUGUAGAGAAUCAACACCCAUAGAUAGUGAGGGAAGAUUUGAAUAGUUUAAUUUACACGAGCACAAUUUUUCACCCGCCAAGUGGGGCAAUCGUAAUUUGUCGCUUGACAGUUGAGACAAACCCAAAAAGUACAGUUUUAUUAAUCAUAUCAAGUGGAUAUGCGUGCGGUAAAAAAAGGGUAUGUUUGUACAAUUCCCAAAAUGAAACCGUCAUUUUUUGUAUUGUUUGGUGGUCAGUGGCAGUUCAAUCCGAUGGUCAGAAGAGUGGGUAAGUAGGAGACGUAGACAUGACAGAAGACUUGCUGGGCGAGGUAUCACAGGUUCGUUAUACACAGCAGGUUGCACCAUACCAUCAUGAAAC
rnacentral:lncRNA from 1 species